UACGUAGGGACCGAGCGUUGUCCGGAAUCAUUGGGCGUAAAGAGCGUGUAGGCGGCCACUUAAGUCCUGCGUGAAAUCUUGCGGCUCAACCGCAAGCGGUCGUGGGAAACUGGGUGGCUAGAGUGCGGGAGAGGAGAGUGGAAUUCCUGGUGUAGCGGUGGAAUGCGCAGAUAUCAGGAGGAACACCGGUGGCGAAGGCGGUUCUCUGGGCAUGUCCUGACGCUGAGGAGCGAAAGUGUGGGGAGCGAACAGG
rnacentral:rRNA from 1 species